rnacentral:snoRNA from 1 species
AACCUUUUGGUGUUUACCACAGUCUGUGUUUUCACACUGAUAUAUAGAAACAGGAGGGAAAGUAAACCUACCCCAUAUACACUUCUGACCAGGCCAUAUGCCUGACCUGUAUUGUGAACGGGGAGACAUGG